CGGGCCUUGUUCGCCUGAAGGAUCGCUCGGCUGUCCAAUCAGAGCGCAGACACCGAUGCACGCCGGAAGAGUGCUGCAGCAGCAGAGCACACGGGACCGAAAUGGCGUAGCGCGCAGUCGUCCGCCGCAGCAGCGCAGCGGGGCCAGGCUCACCGAACAUCGCGGAGCCUGGCCCCUCGUACUCAACCGACGAGUAUGAUGGAGGUGACUUUUAGUUCCAGUUCACUCGGUUCGAAACCAGCACGAGAUCACCGGAGACGUGCCCUUCAUAUGUCAUAUCAAGAAGAGAAAGGAACAGUCUUGAAAGGAACUCAUGACCAGAUGAGACCAUCAUGUCUUUGUUCUUCAAACUGCUCUCCAUCCCGAUAAGUUGACUUUCCUCCAGCGUUAUUUCAGGGAAAUGUUUGUUCAGCAUACCAACUGUCAUUGGUCUAUGAACAUAUCAUCUCUGCACUUUGGAGACUACAACUGAAGUUGUUUUUAUCCAUGAAAGAACGAUAAGCUCUUCAUGUGUCCAAAAAAAGUAACACAAUUGUGCCACAGUACAGAGCCAUCUUCUGGUCAUAUUUGUUAUAAAUAAAAUCCAGUGUAGUAUUUAUAUGGUUGCAGGUUGUGUUAAAAGUGAAAAUGGAAAUAGUGGAAGCGCACUUGCUUUGCAGGUAAAACAAAUGCACAUUUCAAAACUAGAUCAUGCAAGCAAGAUGAUGUAGCUUCAUCCAACAGUUUUAAUUAUCUGCAGAUUAAGUGCCUAGACACGUUUUUUUUAAAAGCUCCUGUCUCUCAAUUAUCUAUUUCCAUGGCUUAGCUUUAAACCUACCAGUAAAGCACUACUUGGUCAUUUAUUUAGUCUUGAAAAUGGCUGAAAAUUUAAUUUCUGAGACAACAAACUGUAGACAGAUAGCUGUUCUCUUAAUUCAGAACUCAUAUUGGUGCUUUUGCAAAACCACGAACCAUGCUUUCAUGUUUUCUAUGUACUUGUACUGACAAACCAAGACAGACAGUGGCACACUGACCUGAACAUAAGCUUUAUAAAUUCCACAGUUAAACCUUUCUAGUGGGGGUGGGGCGCUAAUGAGAUGCAGGACAUAAUGAAAUAUAAUUAUUUUACUACCUCAGAAGUUACCACAGCUCAGACCCACACAGCGAGCACUCCGAUCAAACUAUAUUCACAUGCUUUUCUCACAGUAAUGUAAAUAAGUCAUUGUCUGUCAGAUGGUUUGGAAAUCAGUUGGAAGAGAAGUGAGCGCGUUUCUUUUCACUUCAUGUAUGUUAUUUUAUUAAUAGGUUUGGAAUAUCACACAAAUCAUAUAGAGACCUAGUAGUUCACUGGUUGGACACUGGUGGCCAAAAGUUUGGAAUAAUUAUGUUUUUUAACUUUUUUUGAAAGAAGUUGAUUUGCAUUGAUUUGAUGAAAAAUGCAGUAAAACAGUAAUACUAGGAAAAAUUUAAAAUAACUGUUUUCUAUUUUAAUUUUUUUUUUUUAAUGUAAUUUAUUCCUGUGAUGCAAAGCUACAUUUUUUAGCAGACAUUACUUGGUGCCACAUGAUCCUUCAUUAUUGUUAGUGUUGAAAUCAGCUUUAGAUUUGAGACCAUGACGUAUUUUUACAGGGUUUGUUGAGUAAUAGAAAGUUAAUUGAACAGCGUUUAUUUGAAAUAUUUUUUAGUAACAUUAUUGUUUUUACUGUCACUUUUGAUCAAUUUAAUGCAUUCUUGCUGAAUAAAAGUAUUAAUUUCUUUCUUUUUUAAAAUCAUACUUAUCAUAACUUUUACAAGGAAGUGUGUCACAGUUUCCAUAAAAAAACAUUAAGAAGCAAAAAUAGUUUUCAAUGUUGAUUAAAAACAAAAAAUGUUUCUUGAGCACCAAAUCAAACCAAAUUGUGUCCUGAAGGAUCAUGUGACACUGGAGCAAUGUAUGCUGAAAAUUUAGCUUUGCCAUUACAGGAAUAAAGUACAUUUUGAAAUAUAUAAAAAUAGAAAACAAAUCUAUUUUUGAUCAAACAAAUGUAGCCUUGGUGAGCAUAAAAACAUAAAAUCAAAACCAUUAAAAAAAUCUGAUUUAUUCCAAAGGUUUGGCUGCCAAUAUCUAUUUGUCCUACAUGUUUUCCAAGAGAAUAUACAGAGUGAAAUAAACGUGUCAUUUUCAUUCAGUAACAUUCUCAUAGUUAUCAUCCUCAUUAGGCCUGAAGAAAGGCAGUAGAAUGGUUAAAUGUUAGACCCUGGUCACAACGUUUUUAAAUAGUUGUUAAUAGUUUAGUAUGUUUUAAUGUAUCGUCUAAAAUAGAUUAUGGCAAGUUGGUCACAGCCUGUGCUGGGUCCUCAGCAACAGUGCACUGUGAACAUAGGAAUUUAACUUCAUCUGUGUUGAGAAAAUGUACCCAGUUUUUGUUUCGUUUGUACAGUAGUUUCUAUCAUAUGGAUUGGUAGAAAUAAAAGUAUCAUGUACCGAGUAUGAAUUUUCAUGGGAGAAAGAGUAGUGAGGCCUCAGUGUGGGAAAUGUGCAAUAUUUGUUUCUUUCCUUUGUCUUGUUUUGAGAUGAAUAUGUAUAUUGUACAAACAAGUGACAAGUUGUUCGCAAAAACAACAAAAUCACCAAUGUCUUCCAUUAAAUGAUGUAUAGUUUCAUCCGCUUGCUUUAGGGUGGCGGGAUUUGUAGUGCCAGCAUAAACAUGGCCAUGCAUGUACGGUAGCGAUGCUUGCUGAGUUUAAUAGUCGUAGUGACAUUCAGUAUAUGCUAUAAUAAAGUCGUUUAGAAAAUAAAAUAGGCAGAUAAUGAUUUAGUUAGUAACCACCAUGGAUGCAGCAUCUACAUCUUGAUCGAUUUGAUUAAGAGGCGACUAGGCGAGUCAUUUUCACUCAUGUUGAAUUUGUUCGUUUUAGUUUUUAAUCGGCAAACACAGUUGUUUAUUCACAGGUAAUCACUAUUAGUUAAUAAUAAUGUGUUGUAGCAUGCUGAGGAUUAGAAAAAUGGCGGUUGGUAUUGACGUGCAGCUAGCCAUGCUGAAAUACAUAUAUAUGUUUCAUAAGCACUGUGUGAGUUUGUCCUAGUUUGUACUGUGCAAAAUUAAGUUCUGGGCCCAAAAUAGUUGACUCAGAUCAAAACGACAGUCCCUAACGGGCAGAAAAUUUGGCUCGGUGGCUUGGAAGAAGUAAAGAGUUUAAUUUCAUACCUGUUUCAAGAUAAUUCCUUGGAAACAGUUGAUCCUGAAACGUUAUUUGGUCUGUAAUAAUCGGACACAAAGAAGACUAAAGUAUUCUCGUCCCGAUUAGAAAGGGUAACCUAGAACUGUGUUUGUAUUCAUACCUCUAAUAUUGCAUUCUCCAUCAGGUAAUGUUGUCUCAGACUAGAGCUGUAGGUAGAUUAUUCUUAGUAGCAGAAACUCUAGAUUUUAAAGUAACAUGUAGUAUAUUAAGUGGCAUAAAGCAAUUAUCAAAGCAUUGUAAUGUAGAUAAAUACCUCAAUGACUGGAAUGCAAACUAUAUUUUUAAAUAUACUCAAAGAUAUGCAAGCCAUGAUGUGUAUUAAGUUCAACGUUUAGAAGCAAUAAUCAGUUUAUGCAUGAAUUAUAGUGUCGGAAUAGUUCAGUGGUGUUUGUGAAAUAGAAAUCUGUAGCAUAUUUGUGACAGUGGUAAGUGUUUUAUCCAGAACAUCCCAUUGCUCAUAUUUGGUAGUACAGAACUAGCUGUUAGCAGCCCCAUUAUUCGUUGACACCAAAUAAAUGUGAAGGUAGCACCAAGGGUCUGACAAAUAUGAAAGACCUUUUUUAUUUUGGACAGGUGGAAGAAAGUUGACAGGUAGUGUAUGUGUGUGUGUGUGUGUGUGUGUAUAUAUAUAUAUAUAUAUAUAUAUAUAUAUAUAUAUAUAUAUAUACAUACAUACAUAUACAGGGCUUAUGCCCUUCUAUUGACCUUGCAUGUUUACAUACAAACCAUUGUGGAACGCACAUAAGCUGUAUGUAUAUUUACAGCUUAUUUUCAUUAACAGCAAUAUGAGCAGUGUUCUGGUAGCAGUUUGUGACACUCUGAUGAUUCAUUGUCUCAGUGAGUCCUGGGUAAACGAUAUACCACAAUACAUUCACAAAAUGAAAAAGAUCCAUUGGGAAUUAACUAGUAUUUUUUUAAUAAGAAUGCAAAAAACGUUUGUUGAUGCAUGGUAGAAGUGGACAAAAAAAUGUUUUGUGCUGCAUGCAAUAAUUAAGCUUUGCUUGAACAUAUUUAUGCAGAAAUGUGAUAAAUCUAUGAGUGGACCAAUGUUGUGACUUUCUUUUCAAAUGCAUGAAAUCCCAAAGGUUUAUCGCUGCUGUAAAUUAUUCACAGAUGUAUUCAUUAAAAAUGUUACUUUUGGAUUGAAGUUGAGUAUUGUAUGACAGAAAUGUAACAAGUCUGUGAUUCAAGAGGCAAGAUACAGUACGUUUUAGCAAAACUAACAAUUGUGAGUUUAAAUGGAAUAAAAUGAAGUUCUUUUUCAUGUUCAAUGCAGAUAGUGCAGAACAUAAGUUUAUAUGCCUCUGAAUGUGAAACUCUAUGCUUAGUCUGAUCUAUGCACUACAGAUGCGCCCCGCAUGAUUUUGUACAAAAAAAUAUUAAAUUUUAGCAAUAAAAAAAGCAGCAUGGUGCCAAUCAUAAA